AUUGGAAAUGUGGCCUUGGUAGGCCAGUCGGGCGCCUAUUCCCUGGAGGAGACGCGGCCAUUUAUGGAGGAAGCCUGUGAGUGGCUGAGUGAGCAGCCUGAUUUAGAGCUAGCUGUGCUCCUCGGACACUGGGAUGUGCCGGGGAUGGGUGCCAGUGAUGAGAUG
rnacentral:SRP_RNA from 1 species